rnacentral:rRNA from 1 species
UACGGGGGGGGUAAGCGUUGUUCGGAAUUACUGGGCGUAAAGGGCUCGUAGGCGGCCAACUAAGUCAGACGUGAAAUCCCUCAGCUUAACUGGGGAACUGCGUCUGAUACUGGAUGGCUUGGAUUCGGGAGAGGAAUGCGGAAUUCCAGGUGUAGCGGUGAAAUGCGUAGAUAUCUGGAGGAAUACCGGUGGCGAAGGCGGCAUCCUGGACCGGCAUUGACGCUGAGGAGCGAAAGCCAGGGGAGCAAACGGG